UACGGAGGGUGCAAACGUUGCUCGGAAUCAUUGGGCGUAAAGCGCACGUAGGUGGCCUGUUAAGUCGGGUGUGAAAUCCCUGGGCUCAACCCAGGAAGUGCACUCGAAACUGGCAGGCUUGAGUACUGAAGAGGGUCGCGGAAUUCCCGGUGUAGAGGUGAAAUUCGUAGAUAUCGGGAGGAACACCAGUGACGAAGGCGGCGACCUGGGCAGAUACUGACACUGAGGUGCGAAAGCAUGGGGAGCGAACAGG
rnacentral:rRNA from 1 species